GAUGAACGCUGGCGGCGUGCCUAAUACAUGCAAGUCGAGCGAACAGACGAGGAGCUUGCUCCUCUGACGUUAGCGGCGGACGGGUGAGUAACACGUGGAUACCCUACCUAUAAGACUGGGAUAACUUGGGGAAACCGGAGCUUAUACCGGAGAAUAUAUUGAACCGCAUGGUUCAAUAGUGAGAGUCGGUGUUGCUGUAACUUAUAGAUGGAUCCCCGCUUCAUUAGCUAGUUGUUCAGUUAACGGCUUACCAAGGCGACGAUGCGUAUACGACCUGAGGGGGUGAUCGGCCACACUGGAACUUAGACAGGGACCAUGCGACUGAGGGAGGCCGCAGUAGGGAAUCGUCCGCAAUGGGCGGAAGUUUGACGGAGCAACGCCGCGUGAGUGGUGAAGAUCUUCGGAUCGUAAUACUGUGUUAUGAGGGAAGAACAAAUGUGUACGUAAAUAUGCCCGUCUUGACGGUACCUAAUAAGAAAGCAACGGCUAACUACGUG
rnacentral:rRNA from 1 species